UACAGAGGUCCCGAGCGUUGUUCGGAUUCACUGGGCGUAAAGGGUGCGUAGGUGGUGAGGAAAGUCGGAUGUGAAAUCUCCAAGCUUAACUUGGAAAUGGCAUUGGAAACUACCUUGCUAGAGGUUUGGAGGGGGGACUGGAAUACUUGGUGUAGCAGUGAAAUGCGUAGAUAUCAAGUGGAACACCAGUGGCGAAGGCGAGUCCCUGGACAACACCUGACACUGAGGCACGAAAGCUAGGGGAGCAAACAGG
rnacentral:rRNA from 1 species